rnacentral:rRNA from 1 species
GUGGGGAAUAUUGGGCAAUGGGCGAAAGCCUGACCCAGCAACGCCGCGUGAAGGAAGAAGGUCUUCGGAUCGUAAACUUCUAUCCUUGGUGAAGAUAAUGACGGUAGCCGAGAAGGAAGCCCCGGCUAACUACGUGCCAGCAGCCGCGGUAAUACGUAGGGGGCACGCGUUGUCCGGAAUGAUUGGGCGUAAAGGGCGCGUAGGCGGCCUGGUAAGUCUGGAGUGAAAGUCCUGCUUUUAAGGUGGGAAUUGCUUUGGAUACUGUCGUGCUUGGCUGCAGGAGAGGUAAGUGGAAUUCCCGUUGUAGCGGUGAAAUGCGUAGAGAUCGGGAGGAACACCAGUGGCGAAGGCGACUUACUGGACUGUAACUGACGCUGAGGCGCGAAAGUGUGGGGAGCAAACAGGAUUAGAAACCCCGGUAGUCC